rnacentral:misc_RNA from 1 species
AAGUCGUAACAAGGUUUCCGUAGGUGAACCUGCGGAAGGAUCAUUAGUUGACAGGCCGUUCGCGCGGUACCUGAAACCCUCCUUACAGCGGCCGGAGUUCGGCGCAAGGGCGAAGCCCCUCGCGGGGCGGAGUCGCGACGAGUCUCCGGCCAAAACCCAUGCCCAUUGAAACUUGACGGUCUGAGAGAAUGAUGAAUUAGCGAAAA